CUUCGGUAUGAUGACAGUGGCAAACGGGCGAGUAACGCGUAUCUAUCUGCCCCAGAGUGGAUGACAACUAUGGAGACAUAGCUAAUCAUCCAUACGCCCCUUCGGGGGGAAAGAUUAUCGCUCCGGGAGGAAGAUNGCGUCUAUCAGGUAGUUGGUGGGGUAAAGGCCUACCAAGCCUAUGACGGGUAGCCGGUCUGAGAGGAUGUCCGGCCGCAAUGGAACUGAGACACGGUCCAUACUCCUACGGGAGGCAGCAGUGGGGAAUCUUGGACAAUGGGGGAAACCCUGAUCCAGCGAUUCUGCGUGGAGGAUGAAGCCUUGUGGGGUGUAAACUCCUUUUCUGGGGGAAGACGAAUGACGGUACCUCAGGAAUAAGGGACGGCUAACUACGUGCCAGCAGCCGCGGUAAUACGUAGGUCUCGAGCGUUAUCCGGAGUUACUGGGCGUAAAGCGUCUGUAGCCGGAACAGUAAGUCUAUUUUCAAAGACCUGGACUCAAUCGAGGGAAGGGAAUAGAUACUGCUAUUCUAGAGAUAUUAGGAGGUAAGUGGCAUUUCAGGUGGAGCGGUGAAAUGCGUUGAUAUCUGCAGGACCGCCGAAAGCGAAAGCAGCUUACUACUAAUUAUCUGACGGUCAGAGACGAACGCUUGGGUACCACACGGGAUUAGAUACCCCGGUA
rnacentral:rRNA from 1 species